CUACGGAGGGUGCAAGCGUUACUCGGAAUCACUGGGCGUAAAGCGCGCGCAGGCGGCUAUUUAAGUUGGAUGUGAAAGCCUACGGCUCAACCGUAGAACUGCAUCCAAAACUAUUUAGCUAGAGUGUGGGAGAGGAAGAUGGAAUUAGUUGUGUAGGGGUAAAAUCCGUAGAGAUAACUAGGAAUACCAAAAGCGAAGGCAAUCUUCUGGAACACUACUGACGCUGAGGCGCGAAAGCGUGGGGAGCAAACAGAAUUAGAAACCCUAGUAGUCC
rnacentral:rRNA from 1 species